rnacentral:rRNA from 1 species
GACGAACGCUGGCGGCGUGCUUAACACAUGCAAGUCGAACGGAAAGGCCCUGCUUGCGGGGUACUCUAGUGGCGAACGGGUGUGUAACACGUGGGUGUUCUGCCCUGCUCAUUGGGAUAUGCCUUGGAAACUGGGUCUCUUACCGGAUAGGAGCCCUCCUUAGUGUGGUGGUUGGAAAGUAUUUUGGGUGUAGGGUGAGCUCGCGCGCUAUCUGCUUGCUGGUGGGGUAAUGGCCUGCCUACGCGGCGAUGGGUAGCCGGCCUGUGAGGGUGGGCGGCCACAUAGGGGCUGUGAGACGGGCCAGACUCCUACGGGGGGGAGAGGUGGGGAAUAUUGUGCAAUGGGGGCAAGCCUGAGGCAGCGACGCCGCGUGGGGGAUGACGGCCUUCGGGUGGUGAACUCCUUUCGCUAGGGACGAAGCUUUUUGUGAAGGUAACUAGAUAAGAAGCAACGGCUAACUACGUG